rfam:Triticum aestivum genome assembly, contig: Triticum_aestivum_CS42_TGACv1_scaffold_405076_5BL
AUAAUACUCCCUCUAUCCGGAAUUACUUGUCAUUGAAAUGGAUGUGUCUAGAACUAAAAUACAUCUAGAUACAUGCAUUUCAAUGACAAGUAUUUUCGAACGGAGGGAGUAGAAG